UCCUUGUAUACGGGCUGAUGGUAGAAUUGUUCCAACCCCUGAUUUUCUAGGCCAAGGCUUCCCAAUCUCUGAGCAUGGAGCAACUUCAUGUUUGACAAGAUCUCAGCUCGAGAAACAUCAUUUGGAUGGUAACCAGUUGAUACUGAAGGUGAGGAACCUACACUCGAGACGAUGGUUGACCUGGGUAUCGUGGACUGGGGACGCUGCAUCACUAUUACAGGUUCCCUAUAUGCUGCAUUUUGAAUUAAUUUCUGUUCAGCAACACCACGAUGAACAUCAGGCUUCGUUACUGCAGGUGGGACCUGCAUCCGCAUUCCGAUACUUGAUGAACCUGAAGGAGGCCAUCUCUUCUCCACUAGUGAUGUUUGCUGGUUUAUCUUUGACGAUUGCAACUUGGAAGUGCCAAGCUCUAGGUCAGUUGGUGUGAUGGGAACUGCCUUACUA
rnacentral:lncRNA from 1 species